AUAAUGCAGCCCCCCAUCCCCCUCCCUCUGUCCCUUUAUUUUAACUUUAAUUCAGGGCCCUUCUUCCAUUUUAAAGCAAAAGAAAAGAGUAAAUGUGGCAUCAACAAAACCAAUGCACGUUUUCGGGCCUGCGUUUUCAUAGUUCUGUUAAAUUGUUAAUCUAUGAACCUUUCUAAUCUACACUUACAAACAAAAUUGUCCAUAUUACAUCAAGUGGAGGUAGAAAAUUGCUUACCAUUUAAAAUGAACUAUGUGUGCUAUAUUAAAUUUGGAACUAAGAUUUUUACAAUAAGUUUAUUCUCCAGGUUUAUUG
rnacentral:misc_RNA from 1 species